UGCUAGUUUAUGGCCAUGAUAUUAUUAAAGCCAAAAUCAGGUAAAUCACCAACGGAAGAGAAGAUUAACCACAUAGUUGAUACCACAUAGGCUAUACAACAUUUAUUACAUUUCAUUAUACAUUAUCAACAAAGUUCUAUACAGGCCAAUGGCUUUGCGGUGCUGCCUGACAUGGGGAAACCCUAAGGAGCUUGAUACUUAGGACAUUUGACAUUAAUAAAAAGUAUGUUGUCCAAGACAUCCCUGAUCAUGGAACAUUUGCCUAAAUUCAGAAAUUCAGAAACUCCACAAUCAGUCAAAAGUGUGACGUUAUGCUAGAA
rnacentral:lncRNA from 1 species